rnacentral:rRNA from 1 species
GACGAACGCUGGCGGCGUGCUUAACACAUGCAAGUCGAACGGAAAGGCCCUGCUUUUGUGGGGUGCUCGAGUGGCGAACGGGUGAGUAACACGUGAGUAACCUGCCCCUGACUUUGGGAUAACCUCUGGAAACUGGGGCUAAUACCGGAUAGGAGCUCCUGCUGCAUGGUGGGGGUUGGAAAGUUUCGGCGGUUGGGGAUGGACUCGCGGCCUAUCAGCUUGUUGGUGGGGUAGCGGCUUACCAAGGCUUUGACGGGUAGCCGGCCUGAGAGGGUGACCGGCCACAUUGGGACUGAGAUACGGCCCAGACUCCUACGGGAGGCAGCAGUGGGGAAUAUUGCACAAUGGGCGGAAGCCUGAUGCAGCAACGCCGCGUGCGGGAUGACGGCCUUCGGGUUGUAAACCGCUUUCGCCUGUGACGAAGCGUGAGUGACGGUACUGGGUAAAGAAGCACCGGCUAACUACGUG